rnacentral:lncRNA from 1 species
AUGAACAGAGGUGUACUUGAUAAGUCCACGUAUUUCUUCCAAUUUCACCAUGAUUUCAGUUUUUUCCAUGGUUUUUGGAGUGUCUCACUUAUUCAAUGGCAGUUUGGUGACGCUGUUUUCCAUCAAAACUUUUGGUGGAUUAUGCAAGGAAUAUGUGAGCAAAUAUUUUUUUCUUUACAUUUACAUAACAGCAAAAUGUCAGGUUUGGUGACGUCACCAAACCUGAUAUGUCCAAACCAAACUGACAUGUCAGGCUUAGUAAAGGAAAAUAAUCGUAAAGAUAUUGCGAUGCACGUUAUUAAAUCCUAUAGUAUGGAGCUCUAAGAUAACAGAAAAGUAGUCUUUAGAUUGAUAUUGCCAAAUCACUUAUUAACUUUUUUUCAGGACCAUUUUCUCUCAUUAGCUGAAAUCCACCCUUAUGCAGCGUAUGUAACUAUCUUAAAUUACUAUAACUAAAUGAUGAUUUAAUAAUAAUAAAAAGAAAUGACCAGCAUAAUUGUCUAUCGUCAUAUUUUCUCUAUCGUUAAAAAAUGAACUUUUAAUUUAAAUGACAUUCAUGCUUAGUUCAGCAUUGAUGCCAGUUAUUUUCCGUGUUUCUUCAACUGUCAGUGCUUAGUAGCCAGUGAAUGUUUUAGGGUCUAUCUCAUCUCUCAAAGACUGUGUGGAUGCAAGCAACUUCUGUUUUCAUUCUAGUAUUGAUUCUCGAGUGUUAAGUGUUUUUCCUUUUAUUUAUAUUUACUUGCAUAUUAGUCUUAGAGUAACUUAUAGGGUAACCUAGUACCUACCAUUUCAGACUGAAUCUUCUUAUCUGUAAGUACUUUAAAUCUGUCUGUUCCUUCAUUAUACUCAUAAUACAUUGUAUUUAUUAUAUAGAAUAAAUAUUUAAAUUUCUCACAGGUGGAAGACUCAUUUUUCUUUUGUCAACAACGGAAAAGUAGUCCGUAUGAUAAGGAGUUUCCCACUGUGAGUGUGAAUAAGGAGAAAAAAGUGGACAUUGGAUUUCUUGAUAGGACUCAUUAAUAUUUGUAAAAAAUGGUGCCAAUGAUAUCCU